CCUACGGGUGGCAGCAGUAGGGAAUAUUGCUCAAUGGGGGAAACCCUGAAGCAGCAACGCCGCGUGGAGGAUGAAGGUUUUCGGAUUGUAAACUCCUUUUGUUAGGGAAGAUAAUUACGGUAUCUAACGAAUAAGCACCUGCUAAAUCCUUGCCAGCAGCCGCUGUAAUACGGUGGGUGCAAGCGUUACGCGGAAUCACUGGGCGUAAAGAGCGCGUGUGCGGGUUAGCAAGUCACAUGUGAAAUCCUUUGGCUUAACACUAGAAUUGCAUCUGAGACUAUUAUUCUAGAGUAUGGGAGAGGUAGGUGGAAUUCUUGGUGUAGGGGUAAAAUCCGUAGAGAUAAAGAGGAAUACUCAUUGCGAAGGCGACCUGCUAGAACAUAACUGACGCUGAUGCGCGAAAGCGUGGGGAGCAAACAGGAUUAGAUACCCUGGUAGUC
rnacentral:rRNA from 1 species